GGUGCCCUGAUCAUGACUCACAUCUACUCACCUGUCUCUCAUUUUUGCAGCAAGAGGACUUGGCUAAUUAAAAAGGACAACAGCUUUUAUAAAGUAGAUUUUCAUGUUUGAAGAAGAGAAUGUUGGAAAUUUAUAGCUUCUCGUUUUAUUGAAUUAAUGGUGAGCUAGAAACAGGAAGGAAAACAGAAAUAAUCACACAUACAGUCUACAGGCAACUUGGGAAAAGUGACUUAUGCCAACAUUGUCACAAUUUCCCAAAAGAAGUGAUCUUUAAUCAAUACAAACAAAAUCUUGCUAUCUGCACCAUCCCUGCUCUGUUAUCAGCACCAAGACCAUUGUGAUUAUGAACGAGAACAAAAGCCUCAACAACAAUGUGGUGCUGGAACUUCAUUUUGUUUAUAUGAGUGCCUGAAUGAUUAUUCAACAGUGAAGAAUCAUGCUGUCUUACCUCACUCAACUGUUUUGAUGCUUGGAUACAAAUGAAGGGACAAAAUAUUCAAUUUUAGUUGAGCAGGAAAUAAAAAAAAGUAGAUAUUAUUUCAAUGCCAUUUUAAAAAAGUGCAGUUCUGUUUUAACUCUAUUUUAUAUGUAUUUCUGAUAUUGAAACAAGCAAAUGUUUGCCACCAUUACAACCAUUUGUGGUAAUAUUUUGCUGUUUGAGCACAUUAGUUGAAAGCCAAGUAAAUAUCACAGCCCUAUGCUCUGAAGUUCUCUAUUCAGCUGCAUGUUAGCAGUAGUACCAAAGGGUCAAGUGCUGUUUUCUGCCCUGUACACCAAGUGCCUGGGAAUGUAAAAAGCUAGUUUAAUCCACCAGGCUUGACUAGCAAAGAGGCUCUGUGGCUCAACUGGUAUCAGUGUCUCAAAGUUACAUCACUGUAAAACUGAUAGUUUCCAUCACUGGAAAUCUCCAAUAAAUAUGAAUAAACAACAUGAAAUAUAACAGUUGGAAAUAUGUGGGAGUGUUCAAGACAUGACAUCUGUGUUGGAACAUCAUAUGCCACCAUUUCAGCUGCUGAGAGCAGAUGUCCCAUAUCUGCCUCUCAUUCAAAAGGAAAGGAAAAAUAUUUAAGAGAAAAAAAACCAGCAGCAUUAGGACAGAUCAUUUUAGCUUUUACAGUCAUGCACAGCAAAGAGGAUUACAGUAAAAUGAUCUCACUUUCUUACUUUCCUCAUAUGCUCCUGUCUCUUUUAACACAUGGAUAUAGUAUUUAUUACUGCAAUUUAAAAAAAAGUAAUUGUUUUCCUCUUUCAGGUCACAUAAGCACCGAGUCCUAGACCCCCCCUAUCACAUCUC